AUUGAACGCUGGCGGCAUGCCUUACACAUGCAAGUCGAACGGCAGCACGGGGAGCAAUCCUGGUGGCGAGUGGCGAACGGGUGAGUAAUGUAUCGGAACGUACCUUUCAGUGGGGGAUAACGUAGCGAAAGUUACGCUAAUACCGCAUGUUCUGUGAGCAGGAAAGCAGGGGAUCGCAAGACCUUGCGCUGAUUGAGCGGCCGAUAUCAGAUUAGCUAGUUGGUGAGGUAAAGGCUCACCAAGGCGACGAUCUGUAGCGGGUCUGAGAGGAUGAUCCGCCACACUGGAACUGAGACACGGUCCAGACUCCUACGGGAGGCAGCAGCGGGGAAUUUUGGACAAUGGGCGCAAGGCCUGAUCCAGCCAUGCCGCGUGAGUGAAGAAGGCCUUC
rnacentral:rRNA from 1 species